rnacentral:lncRNA from 1 species
UUGAAACAAUGUUGUUUGUUUGGGGGACAUCCAGAAAUUUCAGUUUUAAAUAAUGAUAUAUUAGCUGCAGGUGUAACAGUACCUAUGCAUUUAUUGCUUCACAGUCUAGCAGUGUUUGUGAGAAAAACUGGUGGAUCCUGCAGAUUAACCAUGGACAGCCAAAUAUUGAGUAAAGUGAUGUCUACAACAGCAUCAGCUAUGCCUGAUAUGGUGUUAAUUCACAUUGUGAAGUUCCAAAAUCAGAAGAUGAUACAGAAAGAUUGCUCUGGUUGUCUGGUUUCUGAAGAAAUCGUGUACCCUGUCUGGAUAGUGUCUUGCUUCCUAUCCACAAAGCUGUGAAAUAAUCUGGAAUUAAAUGGCAAC